AUGUGUGCUCAUGUUUACAUUAUCAAACUCCAAACAGUGGAGGAGGAAUCAACAACGACACUUAACCUUUCCAUGAAUUCAAAUGAAAAUCAAAGCUAGAACAUGAAUGAUCUUAAGCAUAAACUGAACAGUUCUCCCACCCAAAACAUGAGAUUAAACCUGCAUGAUCAAACUCUGACAGCUCCCUCACUUGACACACCCAAACUUAUUUCAACUAGAGUUCAAAGUUCAAUACAAAUAUUGGGUUGCUUGCAGAUUUAGAACAUUUAAUCUUACCCAAAGAUUUAGGGAAUGCGAGCAAUAGAACUAAGAGUCUAAACUGACAUUUGCAAUUUAUGUUAUAGCUUUUGAACAUGGAAAACAUCAAGAGAAAAAGAAAUAAAACUAGGUAAAUAUGGAUUGCAUUUCAUCAUAUUUCACUUGAACCACAUAGUCCACAUUAACUUGUUGCUCAUAGAUAGAGAAACGCAUGAGAGGAUGAAACAACAGAAAAUACAAAAAUUACCAGUGAGCAGCAGCAGUUAGCUCGAGUUUGACCAAACAAACAGUGAACAUCACAGGAUAGACCGAUGGAACAGUAGAAAGCCUUUCAGAAAACCAAUUCCAAAACACAACUCAAACCAUUUUUUUCCUCUACUCAAUAUACAAAUUCAGUAGUUUUUCCAGAGAUUCUAAAUAAUCAGAGGACUCAAUGAGCCAAACCCAACACAACAAAAAAAUACCAAGUUCAAUCCAUUUUCCCCAGGCGAAUCAAAAUGUGUUUUAGAAAUUGAAAACCUCAGAAACCAAAGAAAAACAAAGCAAAUUUCAAUGGAACAGUGAAAAGUUUCAGUCGUCGGUGUUUCUAAGUUUUUCCCUUCAAGAUUUCUUGAAAUACAAGAAAGUGUGCCUUUCUAGGUAAUCCAUUAGGGCAGCCCAAAAAAUCAAAUGUUUCAUGUUUGACUCUUUUUACGUUUUUAUUUUUGCCUAGAUACCCCUUAGUCUAAUUUUCAGAUUUCAAAACAAUCCUUUCUCCAGCUUCCUAAUCAGUUACCCAAAGAUUUCCUUACCUAGACUACCUAAACUAACGCUUAAUGACCCUACUAUUACCCUUGGACCUCAAAUGGUUCAUGGAUCGAUGACCCAAAGGUUCAAAUCCAAGUGAAUGAAUUAGAUAAACCCAAAGCCCGAACCAAAGGGGUCAGAAAUCCAGCCAAAUCAAUGAUAAGCAGAAAAGAGAAAAAUUUGAGUGAUUAGAAAACAGAAACUGACCUAACAAGUAAUGAAUUUUAUUUAAGCCUAAAAUGCUAAAUCGAAGUGAAACCAAAGCAGCCAAUUUUACCAAAAGUCCAUCUCAAAUUAAUUAACAGAAAAGGUCAUGAUUAAUUGAAGGAAACAAAGACAACAGAAAACUAUACAAAGAAAAUUUGAAAAUCCAGCAAAACUAAAACGAACACCGCGCUAAUAAAAAAAAUUAAAAGUUAAAGCGGAUAAUUCCUAUCAACUUCCUAGUCAAGAACGGAAAAGAAAAGAAAUGAGUGGAAAGGAAAAGCAAAAGAAAAAGAGAAAACUGCAUAAACUUACUGCUCGCUUGAAACAGAAUUGAGACAUUGAUUUAGAUGAAAAGUGAUGUUACCGAGUUGUUCUUCGUGAAAAACAAAUGGACAACAUCACUUUUGCGCUUAAUCAACCUUCGAUCGUCAGAAAACAUGAGCAAGUAACCAUGCAUGACACAGAAUAGAGGAUAAUAUUUUGACUUCUUGGGGCUUCGAACUUUAUCCUUAGAUUCAACAUUCGACGGAUUGGAGGGGAGGGGGGGUUCAAGUGAUAUGGGUUAGGGGUUUGGAGAGAGGAGGUCAUAGGGGUUUCAGGGUGUUAGUUUGGAGGUUGCUUGGGGUGGUUCCGCUACCGAAGGUGAUGAGGGUUUUUAGGGCGGCUCUAGGGUUUCCAGGUCCGUCUCUGAAGAGAUGAGAUGAAGGAGAUGAUUGAGGGAGGGGGGUGCGGAGGGAGGGGUUUUGAGUAUUCAGACACAUAAAUAUCAACGGGGACCGCGGUUCCCAACUAUUCGAUGAGUGGAAACCAAUGACUGGGAUGUAGAAUCUCGAAACGGUGUCGUUUGGAUUGAGAGAUGAGACAUGCUGGGUCAUGGCUUGGGCUGAGGCGGAUUUUGUGGGGNNNNNNNNNNNNNNNNNNNNNNNNNNNNNNNNNNNNNNNNNNNNNNNNNNNNNNNNNNNNNNNNNNNNNNNNNNNNNNNNNNNNNNNNNNNNNNNNNNNNNNNNNNNNNNNNNNNNNNNNNNNNNNNNNNNNNNNNNNNNNNNNNNNNNNNNNNNNNNNNNNNNNNNNNNNNNNNNNNNNNNNNNNNNNNNNNNNNNNNNNNNNNNNNNNNNNNNNNNNNNNNNNNNNNNNNNNNNNNNNNNNNNNNNNNNNNNNNNNNNNNNNNNNNNNNNNNNNNNNNNNNNNNNNNNNNNNNNNNNNNNNNNNNNNNNNNNNNNNNNNNNNNNNNNNNNNNNNNNNNNNNNNNNNNNNNNNNNNNNNNNNNNNNNNNNNNGGGGGGGGGGGGGGGGAAUGCAUUGGGCCUGGGUCAAUUCAAUCAAAUCAGCCCAAAACAUGCUUUCAGUCCCCUUUCCUUUCUUAUUCUAUUUAUAUGUUCUUUUCAUUUUCUAAUUUCUUUUUAAUUUAAGACUAAAAAUAAACCAAAAUUAAUCCAUAAUCACAUUAUGCUAUCACGUUAAAUUAAUUAAAUCUAAUUAUCAAUUGAAUUAAUUAAAAUCCAAAUUAAAGGAAAACUAUCAAAGAUCAACAAUUAAAAUUAAAAGUGCGAAAAAAACUAUUUUUCGUGAUUUUUCUAAUUCUUGUAAAAUAACUAAUUUUCUACUUAAUCCUAAAACAUAGAAUUAAAUUCUAAAUGCAAAUGCCCCAUAUUUUUUGUACUUUUCAUUAAUUAAAUAACAUAAACAUGCACAAGCAAUAUGCAAACAAUAACAGAAAACUCCACAAAAAUCCCCAAAAUUGCAAACAAAGGAGAAAGUAUUAUUUUUUGAAUUUGUGGGAGUAAUUCAUAUUGGGCAGAAAUCACAUGCUCACAAAAUCAAGCUCACACGCCUUAGUGCUUUUGGCAUUAAAGUAAAUGAUACCCAUUUUAGCCUCUUCAAAGGUUUUUCCCCUUAUGUUGUAUAAAACAUAAGUUUUCUCAACAACGAGAGAAGCUGCUAGACACUUAAGUUCUUCUUUAAGUUGGAUAGCUUUGGUAGAAAGGUUUUUCCGGGAAGAUCUAAUGAAGUUGAGGCUAACAUCGAGAUCGUGCAUAGUAGAGCUGAAAGUUCUAUUGUGCUCAAUGGUCUUCUUAUAUUUCUCCUCCAAUUGGGAAUAUUUCACCCCAACAACAGCAAGCUCCUCAGCUUUGGAGUUCAAGGUUGUCACGACCCCAGUUCUCCCUCAACAUAUCGUGAUGGCACCUAGUCUAAUCCUAACAAUGCGGAAAAAUAACUAACUUGCAGAUACAAUAAUCAAACUGAACAGCUGGAAGAAAGCAAUAUAUAAGAUGCUACUCGGCAUGUACAAAUCAACAUCACUAAAACCUAUAAUAUUAUCCCAAAACCCGAAAAUUCAUAGGAACCCAAGCUGAAAGGAACGUAGUAAACUUUUCUAACUCCAGAAUGUGAAUAGCAAUGGUAUGAAUGAACAACUAACACUACAAGACAGAAUAAAGAAGGAGACUCCGCGGUUUGCAGACGCGGUAGAUGUACCUCAAAGUCUCCAAAAUUGUCCAUGCCUCGAGGAUGGUAAGCAUGUGUAGAGGUAUCUGGAUCUGCAUAUGAAAAACAUGCGCAGAAAGAGAAUGAGUACAUCACAACAGUACUCAGUAAGUGUCAAACCUCAGUCGGGUAGUAACGAGGAAGGUUAGGUCCCUAUUGAAGUUAAACAUAAAAUAAAGUUUCAACAGUAAGAAAUAGACAAUAUAAAUGAAUACAACAGUGAAAUGAGAUAGGUUAUGCAAGGCAACAACAAUUAUACAAAAGAACAUAUUAAACUCAGAAAUUGGAACAAAUCAAUAUCAAUAGUAACAAUGAGAUCUCCCAUGAUACUGUCUUAUAGUCCCUUUUGUUAACUGUCCAAUGGAUCUUUUGGCGUACCGUCCCGUAUUUCGAUUAUCAAUGCGCAGGGAUCUACCGGAAUCUGAUCUGUAGUCCCAAAGUAAUGUGUAGGGGGAUAUAUCGGGAAUCUAACCCACAGUCCUAAAGUAUAUAUACCAGGGGAUCUAUCGGGAAUCUAACCCGCAGUUCCAAAGUAAGUAUGCAGGAGGAUCUAUCGGGAAUCGAACCUAUAGUCCCAUUGUAAAUACAUAGCAACAACAAGAAGAUAUUAAAAAUGAAAUUUCAUAUCAAGGCAACAAAUUAUUCUAGCCUAACAUACUACACGUAAUGAAACCAAGGCAGUUUAAACCAACUAAACAUGCUUUUCUUACUAUCAACAUGCUAAAUUUGCAAGUGUAAUAAAACAUGUAAGAAAGGAACUCAGUUUUUAGAUGCUUAAAGAAAAACUGAAUUUUCCAAAAUUAUCUCAAGUACACGCUCGUCACCUCACGUACAAGGAAUUCAAUUACCAAUUAUCAUAUUAUAAUGGGACGGUCCCCCACACAAGGUUAGACAAGCCACUUACCUCGAACCGGCUCAAAAUCAUUUAAAACCACGCUUUUGCCACGAGUAUCCGACUCCAAAUGUCCCAAAUCUAUUCAAUUCCAUUUCAUAAUGAAAAUAACUUCAUAAAGUUGAUUCUACAAUAAAAUUCUAAACUAAUACGCAAAACUGUAAAAUGACCAAAAUGCCCCUUAGGCCCACAUCACUAAAUCGGGUAAAAUUUACAUUCUCAGAAACCUCGUACUCUCACAAGUUCAACCAUACUAAAAUUAUCCAAAUAAUAUGCCAAAUGGCCACCCAAAACUCAAUAAUUCGGCUUAUGAAGUUUAUCCUAUUUUCCCAAAUUUUUCCACCAAAUUCAAAUUUAAAGGCUACAUAUAAGAUAGGAAUCAUGGAAAUUGAUCUAAGUUGGGUAGAGAUCACUUACCCAAGUUGCCCAGGUGCAAAAGUCUUUAACAAUCGCCCUUCCCGAGCUCGCAAAUUCAAAAGUUUCAAAAUAAGCUUAAACACUCGAAUUGGGGUUUUUAUAUCUCUGCCCAUAUUUUGUUAAUUGCAACCGCAAGGCAACCUCAAUCUGGUCUAUGCGAAUGCAGAAGAAAUUGCGAUCACAGAAGAGGACAAAGAAAGCUUACGCAUUUGCAAUUGAAGCCACACGAACGCGAAGAGUAAAAAAGGGAAAUGGACCACCAACUCUCAUUUAUACUAUGGGAACGCGGAAGAGGAACUACGAACGCAAAGGAGGAAAGGGGAAGUGCUAUGCAAUCGCGAACCAAUUCAUGCGAUCGAGAAUAAGGAAUUGGGCCUCCUCCAAAAUUACUCUAUGCGAAUGCGAGAAGGGGACCACUAUCAUGAAGAAGAAAUGGUUGCUACAGAACUGAAGCAAAUCUGCAACUUUUUCCAACUUGAAAAGAUCCUUCUAACCACCCAAAACACACCCGAGGCACCCGGGACCCCAACCUAAUGAACCAACAUAUCCUAAGACCUUAUUCAAACUUGUAUCGAUUCUUAAACCACCUAAAACAAUACCGAAACUCAAAUUAAUAAAGGAUUUAAGUCUAGGAACUCCAAUUUUCGUCAAAAUACACUUUCGAUCAAAACCUAACCCAACCAUGUUCGAAUGACCUGAAAUUUUACCCACACAUCCCAAAAUACAUGACAAACUAUUGCAACUUUUGAAAUCGCAUUCCGAACCUCGGAUAAAAAUCUCACUAUCGAACCAGAAACUUCAAAAAUUCAAACUUCAGCAUUUCUAGUCUUAAUUAGCUACAAACCUCUAAAACACAUUUGGAACACACUCCCAACCCAGUACUCACCUAACGAAGCUAACAGAACCAUCAGAUUUCCAUUCCGAGGCCAUUUUUACACUGUUCUGACUACGGACAAGUUUCCAACACUUAAGCUCUUAUUUAGGGACUAAAUGGCCCAAAACUCUCCGAAACUCAAAAUUGGACGUCUUGGAAAACCAAAAUAGAAGAAAAGCUUGGGGAAACAGUUAAUAAGGGAUCGGGGCAUUAAAUUCUUAAGACAAUCGACCGGAUCGUCACUUCCUCUUACACUUAAGCAUGCGUUUGUCCUCGAACGAGCAUAGAGACAUACCGGAAGUAGUGGAAAGAUUAUGUUUGCACAUAUCCUGCUCGGUCUCCCGGGUUGCAUUCUCGGCCGGCUGACCCCGCCACAGAACCUUUACUAAAGCUAUGUUCUUUGACCUCAACUUUCUGACCUGCCUGUCUAAUAUAGUAAUUGGCUCCUCGACAUAAGAUAGAUCCUUGUCCAACUAGGCUGAGAUGAAAUCCAACACGUGCGGUAGAUCAACAUGACACCGCUGGAGCAUCGAAACAUGAAAUAACGGGUGAACUCCUGCCAGGAUGGGAGGUAAGGUAAGCUUAUAAACAACCUCCCCAACUCGCUGCAAUAUCUCAAGAGGGCCAAUACACCUCAAACUCAACUUCCUUUUCUUCCCAAAUCUCAUAACGCCCUUCAUAAUGAAACCCGAAGAAGAACCCACUCUCCAACCAUAUAGGAAACAACAUGAACCUUUCAGUCCGUGCAACUCUUCUGUCUGUACUGGGCUAUACAGAGUUUAUCCUAAAUUACCUUAACUGUCUCCAAAGCAUCCUGAACCAAAUCUGUGCACAAUAGCCUGGCCUCACCCAGCUCAAACUAACCCACCGAAGAUCUACACCGCCUGCCGUACAAAGCCUCAUAUGGUAUCAUCUGAAUGCUAGACUAAUAGUUGAUGUUGUAAGAAAAAUCUGCCAAUGGCAAGAACUGACCUCAAGACCCUCCAAACUCAAUCACACACGCAUAGAGCAUAUCCUCAACAAUCUCAAUAGUGAUCUCUAACUGUUCGUUUGUCUGGGGGUGAAAUGUUGUACUCAACUCAACCCGAGUACCCAACAUCUGCUAAACGGCCCUCCAGAACCAUGAUGCAAAUUGAGUACCUCUGUGUGAAAUAAUAGAAACUGAAAUACCAUGCAGACAAAAGAUCUCCUAAAAAUAAAUCUCUGCCAACCGCUCCGAAGAAUAAGUACUACACACAGGAUAAAAUGAGCGGACUUGGUUAGCCGAUCCACAAUCACCCAGAUAACAUCAAACUUCUAUAAAGUUUAUGGGAAUCCGACUAUAAAGUCGUUGGUGAUUCGCUCCCACUUUCACUCUGAAACCUCUAUCUACUGAAGCAACCUACCCGAUUUUUGGUGCUCAUACAUCACCUGCUGACAAUUGAGGCAUCUAGAUAAAAAUCCAACUAAAUCUUUCUUCAUCCGCCUCCACCAAUUGUUCUACAUCAAAUUGUGAUACAUAUUUGCGGCACCCGGAUGAAUAAAGUACCGUGAACUAUGGGCCUCCUCUAGAAUCAACUCUCGAAGCCCAUCAACAUUGGGUACACAGACCUGACCCUGCAUGCUCAAUACUCCAUCCUCGCUAAUGGUCGUAUCUCUGUCGUCACCAUGUUGAACUCUGUCCUUAAGGACAAGCAAAUGAGGGUCAUUGUACUGUUGCUCUCUGAUAUGAUCAAAUAAGGAAGAACGAGAAACCACGCAAACUAGAAUCUGACUGGAUUCCGAAAGGUCCAAUCUCACAAACUGGCUAGCUAAGGCCUUAACAUCCAUCACCAUAGGCCUCUCUGAUGCUGGUAAAUAUGCUGAAGUCCACAAACUGUCCACCCGAUGACUCAAGGAAUCAUCUACUACAUUGGCCUUGCCGGGGUGAUAUAAAAUAGUGAUGUCAUAAUCCUUCAGCAACUCUAACCACCCCCUCUGGCACAAAUUUAGAUCCUUUUACUUGAACAAAUAUUGCAAGCUCCGAUUAUCAGUAUAAAUCUCACAGGGCACAUCGUAUAGAUAAUGGCACCAAAUCUUCAGGCGUGAACAAUGGCAGCUAACUCGAGAUCAUGGACAGGAUAAUUCUUCUCAUGCAUCUUCAACUGUCUUGAUGCGUAGGAAAUCACCCUACCGUCCUGCAUCAACACUGCUCCAAGGAAAACCCUCGAGGCAUGAUAAUAAACUAUAUAAGACCCCGAACCAGUAGGCAAUAUCAAAAUUAGGGUUGUAGUCAAAGCUGUUUUGAGCUUCUAAAAGCUCGUUUUACACUCCUCUGUCCCUUGAAAUAGAGUACCCUUUUGGGUAAAUCUAUUCAUACAGGAUGCAAUCGAUGGAAAACCAUCCACAAAAUGAUGUAUUAGCCCGCCACGCGACGGAAGCUACGAAUCUCUGUAGCUACGGGCGGUCUCGGCGAACUCUUCACGGCCUCUAACUUCUUCAGAUCCACCCAAAUACCUUCACUCGAUACCACAUGGCCUAAGAAUGCCAUUGAACCAAACCAAAACUCACAUUUCGAGAACUUCUCAUAUAACUUCUUCUAUCUCAGAAUCUGAAGUGCUGUUCUCAAAUGCUCCUCAUGAUCUUCCCAACUCCGGGAAUACACCAGAAUGUCAUUAAUAAAGACAAUGACAAAAGAGGUGAUAUAUGGCCAGAAUACAUUGUGCUUCAAAUGCAUGAAGGCUGCUGGGGCAUUGGUCAGCUCAAAUGACAUAAGAAGAAACUCGUAAUGACCGUACUGAGUGCUAAAAGUAGUCUUUAGGAUAUUUGGCUCCCGAAUCUUCAACUAAUGUAACCUGAGCGCAAAUCAAUCUUAGAAAACAUCUGUGUGCCUUGAAGCUAGUCAAACAGAUAAUUAAUACGAGGCAAAGGAUAACGGUUAAGAACUGUAACCUUGUUCAACUGGCGAUAAUCAAUACACAUAUGCAUAGAACCAUCCUUUUUCUUCACAAAAACAAGAUAGGAGCACACUAAGGUGAAACAAUGGGCAGAAUAAAACAUUUAUUAAGUAAUUCCAAUAAUUUCUCCUUCAACUCCUUCAACUAAGGAGGAGCCAUAUGGUAUAGAGGGAUAGAAAAGUGCUGAGUGCCCGGUAUCAAUGCCAAAAUGAAUGUCCCUUAAGCUAAGUACGCAUCACAACCUUUCUCAACCAUAUGCUGAGCCUUAAGGAAAGAAAUAACUCUAAUGGGAGUGUGACCUAAGGCACCCCUACACUCAAUGCGCAGUACACCUAGCAUAGCUAGUGUCACGAUUUUGGCAUGACAAUCAAGAAUAGCAUAAUGGGGAGACAACCAAUCCAUGCCUAAGAUAAUAUCAAAAUCAACCAUACUAAGUAACAACAAGUCGGCUUUGGUCUCAAAACCAUGGAGAGUAACCAAACACGAUUGAUAAACAUGAUCAACAACAAGUGAAUCUCCUACAAGAAUAGAAACAUAAACAGAGGAACUCAAAGAAUCCCGAAGUACACCUAAAUGUGGAACAAAAUAAAAAGAUACAUAAGAGUAAUUUGAGCCUGGAUCGAAUAGAACCGAUGCAUCUUUGUGGAAAACCACUAUAAUACCCGUAAUGACAGAAUCAGAGGUAAUAACCUCGGUACGAGCAGGCAUAGCAUAGUAUAUGGCCUCAUCCCUCUCUUUAGAGUGACCUCUACCUUCCCAACCUAUACCUCUAGCUGGCUGAGCAGGUGGGAUAGCUGAAACCGUAAUCAUGGCCUGAGAACUCUGUGGGGAAUGUUGUGGCUGAGAAGUCUAUGGAGGUGCACCCCUCCCAAGUACGGGGCAAUCCCUCACCAUAUGGCAUGUGUCACCACACUUAAAAUAAACUCUGGGAGGAUGUGGUGGCUAUGACUGGCUAAGGCCAGAUCUAUUAGAACGACCUCUGAAAGCACCCCCGCAGGAGGCGCGCUAGGAACCAGAGAUGCGUAAUAAGGCUCCUGGGUCCUAAGAGGAGCUAGAGCAUUGCUAGGUGCUGGAAGAGCUAAAUUAACAGCGCAAAUCAUAUAAGCCCUACCAUGACGACCUCCAGCUGGGGUGCAGACACCAGAAUAAUGGCCGGACUCUCAAGACCUCUUGGCCUCUCUCUCCUCCUCCCCCUAGCAUUGCACACCCUUAAUCCUCCUAUAUUUCUCACCACCUGCUGAUAAGAAAUAUUCAUCUCCAACUCACGAGCCAUGCUAGAUCUGAUGCUAGGAGUAAGCCCCUCAAUAAACCGGUGAACCCUCUCGUGAAAAGUAGCAACUAAGGCUAGUGCAUGCCUAGCUAAGCUUGUGUAACAAAUAACAUACUCUAAAAAAGUCAUAGCACUCUGGCGCAAAUUCCCAAUCUCUGUGCGCCAUGUGUCUCUGAGGCUCUGACGAACAUAUUCUCUCAGGAAAAGACAUGAAAACUAAGUCCAAGUCAGUGAAGCAGCCUUAUGUGGACUAUCUAAAUCAUAGGUGCGCCAACACUCAUAAGAGGCCCCUUGGAGCUGAAAGGUAGUGAAAGAAACCCCGAUGGAUCCUGAAAUACCCAUGGUACGGAGAAUGCAGUAACACUCGUCAAGAAAGCCUAGAGCAUCCUCCGAUGCUAGACCACUAAAUACAAAAGGCUUGUUCUUUUUGAACCUCUCAAGCCUCAGCUGCUCAUCCUCAGAAACUGCAGGAUGUACUGGAAUAAUCUUGGGGACCUCCUCAACAGGCACUCGCUGCUCAGGAGUGUGGCCGGCGGGAGUCUGUGCUCCUCCCCCCUCUAGUAUGUGGCUGCGUCAAGGGGAAACAACCCUGCCUGAGCCAAAGUGGUAUACAUGCUCAUGAACUGUGCCGGAGUCUCCUGAAGAGCUGGAAUAAUGGUAGUAAUAGUAGUAGACAUGUCAGGUUCCUAGACUCCGGCUGGAUCUGCUAGUGGUACUCGACGGUAGGUUGUGCAGGUGCUCUGGCUGCACCACGUGCAUGGCCUCGACCUCUACUCUUGCCCCAUCCUCUUAUAAUUGUAGUAGGGGGCACGGAUUCCUGAUCAUCUCGAGUGGCACAUGUCCUUACUAUCUGUGAGAGAAUAGAAAGACAGAAGUUUAGUUAUGAUAUCAAAAUCUCGCAAGACCAGGAAAUCAAACAAAGUGGAAUUUUCCUAACAGUUACGUAGCCUCUCAUAGAUAAGUACAGAUGUGUCCAUACCGAUCAGCGAGACUCUAAUAAAACGGCAUGUGUUCUGUGACUCCUAUGAACCUAGAGCUUUGACAUUAACUUGUCACGACCCCAGUUCCCCCUCCCUGAAUAAGUCGUGACAGCAUCUAGUCUAUAUGACUAGGUAAGCCUAACAGUGUAGAAAAUAACUAACUUGUGAAUACAAUAAUCAAACUGAACAACUGGAAGAAAAUAGUAUAUAAGAUACCGCUCGACAUGUACAACUCAAAAUCACUGAAACCUACAAUAUUAUCCGAAAACCAGAAAACUCACGAGAAAACAAGCUGAAAGGGACGUCGUAAAAUGCUCUAACUCCGAAAUGUUUACAACUAUGCGACGAAUGAAGAGCUAAUAUUACAAAUAGAAUAAAGAAGGAGACCUUUUGGUCUGCGGAUGCGGCAUAUGUACCUCGAAGUGUCCAAAAUGCUCCCUGCCUCAAGGAUGGUAAGCCUGUGCAGAGGUACCUGGAUCUGCACAUGAAAUACAUGCACAGAAAGGGCAUGAGUACACCACAGUGGUACUUAGUAAGUGCCAAGCCUAACCUCGGUCGGGUAGUGAUGAGGAAGGUCAUGGCCCUAUUGAGGUUAAACAUAAUAUAAGUUUUCAACAGUGUGAAAUAGAAAAUAUAAAUGAAUACAACAGUGAAAUGAGACCAAUUAUACCAGGCAACAACAUUCAUACAAAAGAAUGGUGUAAACUCGGAAAUCUGAAUAACUCAAUACAAAUAGUAAAAUCGAGGAUCUCCCAGGAUACUGUCCUAUUGUCUUUUUCGUAACCUAUCCAAUGGAUCUGACGGAAUUCCAUCCCAUAGUCCGAGUACCAAUGCAUGGGAUUUACCGAAAUCCGGUCCGUAGUCCCAAAGUAAAGGUGCAUAGGGAUCUAUCAAGAAUCUAAACCGUUGUCCCAAAGUAAAUGUGCAGGGAGAUCUAUCAGGAAUCUAACCUGCAGUCCCUAAGUAAAUGUGCAUGUGGAUCUAUCGAGAAUCGAACCCACAAUCCCAAAGUAAACAUAUAAGGGGGAGCUACCAGAUUCACACAUCUAUAGUCCCAAUGUAAAUACACAACAAUAGCAAGAAGAUAUUUAGAAAUGAAUUUUUAUAUCAAGUCAACAAGUAAUUCAAACCUAACAUAUGACACGUAAUGAAACCAAGGCAAUUUAGCAAACAUGCAAUUUAAAUCAACUAAGCAUGCUUUUCUAACUAACAACAUGAGAAAUAAGUAAGUAUAAUAAAGCGGGUAAGGAAGGAACUCAGUUUUAAAUGCAUAAAGAAAAAUCAAAAUUUCAACAAUUAGCUGAAGUACGUUCUUGUCACCUCACGUACAAGUCAUUCAAUUACCAAUUAUCAUAUCCUAAGGGGAAGGUCCCCCACACAUGGUUAGACGAGCCACUUACCUCGAACCGACUCAAAAUCAACUAGAAAUCACGCUUUUUCCAUGAGUAUCCGACUAUAAAACGCCCAAAAUCUAUUCAAUUCCAUUUCAUAAUGUAAAUAAUACUUCAAGAAGUUGAUUCUACAAUAAAAUUCUAAGCUAAUACGCGAAACUAUGUAAAAUGACCAAAACGCCCCUCGGGCCCAUGUCUCGGAAUCUAGUAAAAUUUGUAUUCUCAGAAACCUCGUACUCUCAGGGUUCAACCAUACUAAAAUUAUCCAAAUCUGAUACCAAAUGCCCAUCCAAAACUCAAUAAUUCAGCUUAUGAAGUUUAUCCAGUAUUUCCCAAAAUUUUCCACCAAUAAAAAUUUAAAGGCAAGAUUUAAGUUAGAAAUCAUGGAAAUUGAUCUAAGUUGGGUAGAGAUCACUUACUUAAGUUUCCCGAUUGCAAAAGUUUUCAAAAAUCACCCUUCCUGAGCUCCCAAAUUUGAAAAUUUUAAAAUAUAAACCCUCGGAUUUGGGUUUUAAUAUCUCUGCCUAUAUUUUGUCAAUUGAGAUCGCAAGGAAUAGAGUGCGAUCGUGUAGAGAAAAAUUUUGAGGGUCCUCAAUCUGGCUUAUGCGAAUAUAGAAGAAUGUUUGCGAACGCGGAAGAGGACAAAGCAAGCUUAGUGUUCAUGAUUGAAACCACACGAAUGCGAAGAGUAAAAAGGGGCAAUGAACCACCAACUCUCAUUUAUACUAUGCGAACGCGGAAGAGGAACUAUGAAUGCGAAGGAGGAAAGGGGCAAUGCUACACGAUCGCAAACCAAUUCAUGCAAUCGUGAAUAAGGAACUGGGAACCCUCCAAAAUUACUCUAUGCAAAUGCAAGAAGGGGACUGCGAUCGCGAAGAAGAAAUGUCUGCAACAGACCUAAAGCAAAUUUGCAACUUUUUCCAACUUGAAAAAUCUGUCUAACCACCUGAAACACACCCGAGGUCCCCAGGAGCCCAACCAUAUGCACAAACAUAUCCUAAGACCUUAUUCAAACUUGUAUCGAUCUGUACACCACUUAAAACAAUGCCGAAAACUCGAAUUAAUCUAAGAUUUAAGUGUAAGAACUCCAAUUUUCCUCAAAAACACUUUCGAUCAAAAACCUAACCAAACCACAUCCGAAUGACCUAAAAUUUUACACACACAUCCCAAAUGACAUGAUGGAACUACUGCAACUUUCGGAAUCCCGUUCCGACCCUCGGAUCAAAAUCUCACUAUCAGAACGGAAACAUCAACACUUCAAACUUCGGUAUUUCAAGCCUAAAUUAGCUACAGACUUCCAAAACAUAUUCUGAACAUGCUCACAACCCCUAAAUCACCAAACAAAGAUAAUAGAAUCAUUUGAUUUCCAUUCCGAGACCGUCUUCACACUGUUCUAACUACAAAAAGCUUUCCAACACUUAAGCUCCGAUUUAGGGACUAUAUGUCCCAAAACUCUCCGAAACUCGAAACCAAACGUCUCGGCAAAACAAAAUAGCAGAACAAGCUUGGGGGAAAUAGUUAAUAUGGGAUCGGGGUGUUAAAUUCUUAAGAUGUCCGGCUGGGUCGUCACAAAGGCUGCCUCCAAAUUGGUCAAUCUUUCAAUGGUAGCACCCUCAUGAUUAGAUGCAUGAAGAAUGACACUAUGGACUUCGGCUCAUUUGGCCCUAACCUCUUCAAAUGGAACCCUUAGUGAACCAAUCUAUUGGAUGUAAGUUCCACUUCUUGCUAUCUUUGUUAUAUAUGAGUCUCUAACAUAAUGGCCUCAACAAAUUUAGCUUCCAAUUAAAGGCGAGCAAUAGUUUGCUCUCGCUCGGCCAAAAGUUGAUCUCGUACGGAUGUAAGUUCAUUUUUUCCCUAAAAUUAACCUUUGAAGUCCCUCAAAAGCAAGGCAAUUGGCCUACGAAACAAGAAAGGCAAACUCAGGAUAUUUUCAAUCAAAGAUAGAAGAAAUGACAAAAGAAAUGAAGAAUGUACUACUGCAGCAUUGUCCAUGGCAUUGUUCAACAAGCACUCUCGAGAGAGAGCCUGUAUCUUUUCCUAAUCUCUUUCUAAAUCCAAAGGCUUCAGAUAGUUAGUAAUUUCCACCAGCCAGGAUAAAAAAUUGCAUCCGUUGGAGACAGAGAGAGAAUAACUCUCCUUCUCAUUUGUGGACUGAAAGGGAGCAUCCUCUUCUCGAACAUAUGUAGCCAGUGGGGGUGAUGUUGCUUGUUGGUGGAUGAGUUGAUAAAGAAAGAGAUGAAGUUGAUGGUGUUGAAGAGUGAGAAGCAACUGCGACACACACAAUGCUGGUUAUUGGUUUCUCGUCAACCAAAGACGAUAGGCACCCGGUAUUCGUCCCCACAAUACUGGGCUCAGUGACUGGUGUGCGAAAAUGAGAGUUGGCAUUUUCUACAAUCUCAAACUCCCCUAGAGCGCCGAGGCAUCAUCCUUGGUUAGUAUAAAUAACUCGAAAUAUUGAACAUUCUGUUAAGUUGAUGAAGGUCGUCGUCUUCUAUGUAGAGAAGCCCCAUCAUUACUAGCUUCUCCAUCAACAUUAAAAACCACAAUAUCUAUGGCUGGUUUGGGCGUGACACUCGAUACUAUAGCAUCUGAGGAUGAUUCGGGAACAACACUCAUUGCCCUCUUAUUUUUUACCCCGGCGGCAGAGGAACGUCUCUAUUUUUGUUUGCUUCCUUUCCGGCAUGGGACACCGAAAAGGAACACUUGUACCAGAAGCAAACCCGAAGACGCCUUUUCGAGUAAUUGCCUCCUUAAGUAGCCUCGCCGCAUCAGAAGGAUGGGCCAAAAUGUCCUCCUCAGGGACUACAGCUUAGCCCUUGGGUAGACUAUAUUCUGCAAGAGAUAGGAAUCAGACAUUUUUUCUCAUAAGAAAUAGUUAGAACAUGAUGAGUUCUAUUUACCAUGAUUUUUGGCCUUCCACCCAUAUUUCAAGGAUAUUUCUUUCCACAUGUGGGUUUUGGGUGUAGUAAUAUCUAAUAUUAUCUAAACCCUAGUGGUCCAAGCCCUCAACCCGGGUAAGCCUGCUUAUCGGGCGGAUCAGACGGUUAUUUACUCUUAACGGUUCGACUUAUUAGUUAUCGACUUUUAAAUGUAUUAAUUCGCUAGCCACCUGAUAAGAUAUCGGGCGGAUUGAUAUCGGUUUUAGCCGUUAUUGGGAGGUUUAUUGGCCUAAUUCAACUGUAUUGCACAUGACAUUGCUUUGAGUUCAGAGUAGACUACAUAUACUUGAGCAGUGCUUAAAUCACUAUUUGCUAGUCCCUGAUUACUCCAUGCAUUGACAUAUAAAACAAAGUGAAUCCAGAACACAUCUGUCAAGAUGAUUAAUCUUUGUACAUUACACAGAGAUAUAAAUCACUAUUAACACUUUCUAAUUUCAGCAUAAAACAAAUCAAUAUGAAGUAUGCAUGCUCAAUUUCGACGAAACAAAACAAGUGGACUGUUUGAUUCCACACAACAGAUGGACUACUUAAUUUCGACGACGAAUACUAGUUUUGAUACUUGUAGCUGUGGUGUUAAAAAGUUGACUAGUGGUGCAAGAGGCUGCUCUAAUUAUGGGGAAAGGGAGAGGCGAGAUGGCUUGUUAGAGAGAUGGAGAGGCGAGUUGACGAGAGGGAGACAAUGAGUCAGCCAGAUUGCAAGUGGGAGACGGCGAGUCUGCUACUGAGCUGCUCUAGUCUCUGUCCGAUGGGUGAAAUUUAGACUUUUAGUUUUACAUGUUAGGCCGUUUGGGAUUCUAAUAGGGCUGCUUUCUAAAUGUUUAAUAAAGAAUUAGAGAUAGAGUACUGCAAUUGGCAGAAAAGAUUUUUAUUAUUUAGUAUAUAUAUAUAUAUAUAUAUAUAUAUAGAUACAAAUAAAGUAUAUAUAUAUUCUUAACAGAUUAAUAGAUUAUUUAUUAAGAAAAUUGAAUAAUCUGUCCCCAAACUAAUAAGUCGUUAAUAAAAAAAAGCUAUUCACAUCUGUUAAAUUGUUAAUUCGCUACCAAUGAACCAUUAAGCCACUUUAGCGAAAUUUUUUUCGAUUUCGAAUACCCCUACCUAGGAGAAUCCACCGAGUCACCGAGGCAGGUAAAGGAAGAAAAAUUAAUAAAGAUGAGGAAUAUGAGUGUGAGCUAACCCCAAAACCUCGUCCUCAGUUCGGAUUGCAGGCUGCAACUCGGCGAAUGAAGUUUCUGCCCUGGAAUCACGACCCCUGAUUACUCUUCUUAACAAAGGGGGUAUGAUUCUAGGGAGCCCUGUUCGAGUGAAAGACACAGGUACUGAUAGUUGAUCAUGCCUGGAGUAUGAAUUAGCAUAAUAUCGCUGUAGACAUACGCCACACUGCUUUAGGUAUAAUGCCGUGAAUAGCAGACCAGACUUUCGCACCAUGCCAACUACAGUUCUCGCAAAAUGCACAGAAGCUAAGCCGACUUCAACUGAUAGAGACAAGGAUACAAUUAAAGGGACUCGUAAGAGAAGCCCCUUCAAUUGUCGGGCACUUUCAAAAAUGCCUCGCCAAGAAAUCAUAGGGACCUUCUCAGCACUAGAAAACAGUUUCAAUAGCUUCAUAAUACAAUUUUUUACUUAGAAUAUGACCCCCUGCUGCUAAUGCUGAGCUGAACUCUAAUCAUUCUACUCUUCCAUAAUUCUAGGAAGGAAAGCCAAGGCCGAAAUGAUAUAACUAGUGGCAAUUAAAACAAAUCAUUCCAUCCACACAUGAUCAUUAUCAUCGUACAUGUUGCAUAGUAAUGCAUGAGGACUUCUCCUACUAAAAAUAAUCAUCCCUCCACGGAAGAUCUUGAGGAAUAAUGGUUCAUUACAUAAGCUAGGGAUAGCUCCUCCCCUAUUUCUUGGAACAUGCAGCGAAGGCAAGUGACUUUCCUCCAUACGGAGGGACUCACCCACACUAAACAUACUUGAUAGCGGAAGCAAAACUCCACAAAAAUGGAGUCAAGCUCUCCGCUCAGAGAAAAUGUCCUCAAAGUGAAGGGGUAAGUAUGGAAGUACGUAAAAUACUUCUUAGGUAAGGUUGCCCGCCCUACAAGAUCACGAGCGAUAAUGUCUAAAUCCUGACAACAAUAAUCUUCCUUCACAAUAGGAAUACUGGAAGGACGGAUGGAGGAAGAUUAUCUGCCAAUGGUCCAUGUACGAGUUUUAGUAGAAGGAAACUUAACUUCGAUAUCCUUAGCGGUAACCAGGCUCUUUGGAAUAAUGGUGCUCACCGUGGGAGGAGCGGCACUAUCAGUUUUCCAUUUGUUCUUUGAAGAACUAGAUUUUCUUGAAGUGAAGGCCAUAUUUUAUCAAGAGGAACGGUUUUUUUUCCCAAAGAAGGAAGCUAAAGAAGGUUAAAGUCGGAAGAUGAGUUGAGCAAAGAGAUUCUUAGAAAAUUUAGAGUAUUAUGAAGUAUAAUGAAGGAAGUUGAUGCGUAUAAGUGAAGGUGUAGGUGGCUAAAUUCGUGGUCACAAUAGCCUCGAUAUCCAAAACAAAUAUGUUAAAUCAUGGGAUGACGCGUGUUCGGAGCAUUAAAAUGCACAGAGACGUGCAUCUAAUCAACCAUCCAAAGUUUUUCAGAAGGAGUAAAAAAAAGUUUUGCCAAAAAGAAUGUUUCUACCAGCUUCCUGGUGAUAUAAAGUUAUGUCACUAGAAGACUGGGGGACUAUCUGUAUAGGAUAAAAUAUGAUAUGCUAAGUUAUUAUACAAGAAAGUAAUAUGUGGAGCUGGAGGUAGAAGAUAGCCAACACCGAAGAUAACUGUUCCAUUUGUUACCCGGAAGAAUGAUGCUCAUAAUUAUGCAAUAAAUGCCUGCCACCCGAUAGCAUUUAAUGGAGAAUAUUCUACAACAGUUAAUACAUUUCCCCUUACAAAAGAAUAUGGCAUUCAUGCAUGCCGUUAUAUAUCCUUCAAUAGCCUCCAUAAUAGUCAUUGAAGAGGGGUUUGAUCUUAGGACCUUAUUCCCUAGUUGUAGCUAUAAAUAGUGAGCUCUAUUAUCACUGCAAAGAUAUGACUUUUCAAGCAAACUUAUGCUACAAUCAAUUCAAAGCUUUAUAUAAUUUAAUUUUCUUAUUCCUUGAUUUUAUUAUUGUUGUUCCCAGAAACUCUGCUCCUUAAAUUACUAUUUCUGCGACUUUAUUCCGUAUUUCUUCAAUAAUUUUAUUAUUUUGGGAUCGGUUAAUUCACUUAUUUAGAAACUACAUCUAAAUUACCGAUUUAUGGUUCAAAAAAAUAAUGUGAAGGAGAUGGAUAAAAUUAACUUUUUAUAUGAUUAUUAUUGUACAUACCUUAAUAUGUCUAAUUCACAUAUUAACUAGAGUUUUGAUACUAACAAUCCGCUUGGUUUGACGUGUGAGGAAUGAUAAUCAUAGUAUAAAACUACACAUUGUUUAAUCAAAUAUACAUAAAUUGUUGUAUAAUUUUGCACGAAAUAAAGAUGGAGUAGCAAUCCUUAUAUUAUCUAUGCUGGGAAUUGGAAUUAACGUGAUAACAGACCAACAUACCUUUUUGUUAAUAUACUUGAUAAUCGGCAUAAUUCUCUAUACUUUGAUAGUAGUUUAACCUCAUUCUCAAAUGUUCUUGUAGUGGUUAAAACUCACUAACAAUGUGCCUAAUUGACGCUCUUUGGUUUAUAGGGAGUUUCAAGAAGAAUUGAAGAAAUUUUGAUGUUUUGGGACAAAAACCUGCUCAAACUGAAGAAAAGGACAAGGUGCAAAAACAUCACAUUUUUCCUAUGGGCAAAAAUUAUAAGAAUAUUUUGGUCUUUGAAGAAAAUUUUACACGAUAUAAAAGCUUAAUUUCCCCUCCCGCCAAUAUCUCAACCAGAAAAGAAGAGAAUAUUACGUUCAAAGAAAGGAAUGGCUUGGAAAAGUCCAAAAACUAUCCCCGAUCGAAGAUUUGAAGAGUUUCUCUCAACUUUUCUUAUUUUCGCUUAUACAAAGAUUGUUUUGAGAAUAGUCAUAUUUUUACUAUAAACAUGAGUAGCUAAAUUCUCCACCUAGGGUAUUUAUGUACCCAUUGUACGGCGGUUUUGAGUAAAUAUUUCUAAUUCGCAGAUACUUAUCCUAUUUGUUUAGCUAUGAACUCAAUUGUUUGAGAUCACAAUUAUUUAUUCCCUAUUUUGUGUUAUUCUUGUAAAAGAUUGACAAGAUUGGGUUAGUCAAAUAGCAGUACUUUGGGCUGAAUUAAGGAAUUAAUUAAAUUGAUUUAAAAUCGUUAUGGGGACAUCAUGAUUCCACUGUGACCUAGAAUUAGAUGAGUUUAUUAUCUUUGUAUUUUUGGGAAAAAUAGUUUAAGAACUGUGCUGUUAGUAGUUGAAAAACUCUAGCGAACAUCUUUAGGUCAAAGAUUGGUAGAAUAAUUGUAAUGACCCGACCGAUCAUUUUGAGCUCAGUAGUCGGAGGAAAUGAACAGCUUCAUUUUAGGUAUUAUGACAUGUACGCACAGCCAGAUUUGAAUUUCGGGAAGUUCAGAGUUGAUUUGGAAAGAGAAUUCUCAUUUCGGAAGCUUUAAGUUGAAAAAAUUAACUAAGAUUGAAUUUUGAAGUAAACGACCUCUGAAUCGGGAUCUGAAGGUUCCAGCAUGUUCGAUUGGCAAUUUCGGACUUAGGCGUAUGCCUGGAUCGAGUUUUGGAUAAUCCGGGAGCAUUUUGGUGCCUAUUGUGGAAGUUAGCAUUUUGGAAGGAAUUUCAUAAGUUUGGCUUGAAGUGCAUUUUGUUGUUAUCGUAGUCCGUUUGGAAUUCCAAGUCCGUGAAUAGCUUCACAUAGUGAUUCUAGAGUUGGGAGCGCGAUCGGAAGUGAAUUUGGAGGCCCGUAGGUCAUUUUGGAGACAUUUGGCUAAAGAUAGAAAUUUGAAGGUUUUUGAGAAGUUUGAUCGGAAGUGCGCUUUUUAAUAGCGGGGUCGGAAUCUAAUUAUGAAAGUGGCAGUAGGUCUGUAAGAUCAAAUAUGACGUGUCUCCAAAAUUUGAAGUCAAUCAGAAAUUAUUUGAUAGGUUUAAACAUCGAAAGUAGAAAUUUGAAAUUUCGAAGUUCAUUAAGCUUGGAUUAGGGCGUGAUUCACGGCUCUAGCGUUGCUUGAUGUGAUUUGAGAUUUCGAGAAAGUCCAUAUUAUAUUUUUAGACUUGUGUGGGUGCUUGGUUUGGAGCCCCGGGGGGCUCAGGUGUGAUUCGGAAUAGCUUUGAAAUGAUUUGCUAAGAAAUAGGAUUGUUGAUGCUGGUAUGAUUGCAAUUGUGAUAGUUUGGUCACAAAUACGAUCAUCGCAUUUGUGAACAUGCACAGCUAGGGGAUUCUUUGCAUUUGUGAUGUUUGGGUUGCGUUUGCGAGGUCUGAACGGUUAGCAUUUGCAAAACCUUUAUCGCAUUUGCGAAAUGGGCCAAAUUAGUCAGGAGUCGCAUUAGAGAGGGAGUCUUCGCAUUUGCGAUCUUCUUGUCGUAAAUGCAACGAUGGAAAUAGGGAAGCAGGCUUGCAUUUGCAAACCUGGUGUCGCAAAUGCGACAUCAAAGGCCUAUGUCCAGCUAUUAGUUUCGAGAUUUAGACCAUGUAGGUCAUUUUCCUCAUCCUCUUAGGCAAUUUUUGGAGCUUUUGGAAGAGGGUCUUUACCUAGCACUUUGAGGUAAGUAUUUACUACACAACAUGAGUAAAUAUAUAGAUUAUGGGUAGAUUUACAUGUGAAAAUUUAGGAAAAUCAUGGGUUUUUGAUGAAAAAGCUAGAAUUUGGUAAAAAUGAGAUUUAACCACGAAAAUUUUAUUGAAUGAAGUAAAAACCAUAUAUUCUUGAUCUGUAGGUUAUGGGUAACAAUUUUCUUCGAGAAUUUUUGGAAUCCCGAUGCUUGGGCCCGGGAAUGAAUAUUAGGAACCUUGAAUUUAAAGUUGGAAAAUUGGUUUAAUAAUUAGAAUAUGACUUUUUGAGCAUGUAUUGACUAGUCCUUAUUCCAUUAGAAUAGUUUUGGAGUGUUCGGCUCCGAAUGUGGAGGUUUGAGCGCGUUCUUGAAUCAGAAUAUAGGCUUCAGAGCAAGGUGAGUCUCCUUUCUAACCUUGGCUGCGUUGUCUGUAAUGAUGGUCGUGAGAAUCCCAAAACGGCAAAUGAUGUUGGAAUGAACAAAAUCCACCACCGCUUUCUUGGUAACAGAUUUAAGAGUGAUGGCUUCAACCCAUUUUGUGAAGUUGUCAAUAGCAACCAAUAUGAAUCUAUGUCCAUUUGAUGUUUUUGGCUCAAUCGGCCUAAUGACAUCCAUGCCCCAGGCAGCAAAUGGCCAGGGUGUUGACAUAGGACGAAAUUUAGUUGGCGGUGCAUGAAUAAAAUAAUCGUGCACCUGACAUUGAUGACAUUUCCGCACAAAGGUGAAUCAAUCUUUCUCCAUGAUCAUCCAGUAAUACCCGGCUCGGAGUAUCUUCUUUGCCAGCACGUACCCGUUCAUAUGAGGCCACACAUUCCCCUGUGUACUUCGUGCAUAAUCUCUCGGCUUCCUCGGUGUCAACACAUCUCAUCAAAUUAAGAUCUGGAGUUCUUUUGUAUAAAGUAUCACCACUCAAGAAGAAAUUGCUUGCGUGUCAUCAGAUGGUUUUCUUUUGCUCCCCGGUGGCUUGCUCGGGAUACACCUGUGUUUUUAGGAAUCUCUUGAUGUCAUAAUACCAGGUUUGUGUAUUGAACUCCGCUUCGGUCACAUUACAAUACCCAUGCAUAUCUUUGAUUUGGAUCUGUAAAGGAUCGACGUAGGCAUUUCUGGGGCAAGGUAACAUGGAGGCCAAGGUUGCAAGUGCGUCCACUAACUCAUUGUGAUAACGGGGAAUGUACCUGAAUUGUACCAACUUGAACCCUUUGUUGAAGUCUUCCACAUGCUAUUAAUAGGAGGCGAGUUUAACGUCUCUUGUUUCCCACUCUCCUUGAGCCUUUCGGAUGAUCAAAUCUCAAUCUCCCAAGAUUAACAAUUCAUCAACAUCUUGGUCAAUGGUCAUGUUCAUGCCCAUGAUGCAAGCCUUGUAUUCAGCUCUAUUGUUGGUGCAGAAAACCCGGAGCCUGGCUUUAGCCGGAUAAUGCUGACCCGUGGGUGAGAUUAAAAUUGCCCUAAUCCCUAUGCCUUUUGCAUUUACCGUUCCGUCGAAGAACAUUUUCCAAGCGAGGAUGUCAUUAAAUGUUGCUUCCACCGAAUUCACUUCUUCAUCAGGAAAGUAGGUAUUCAAAGGCUGAUAUUCAUCGUCUAUAGGAUUUUCGGCCAGAUGAUCUGCCAAUGUUUGAGCCUUCAUUGUAGUACGAGUGAUAUAAACUAUGUCAAACCCUGUGGGCAUCAGUUUUUGGAAUAUAUACCUCAGUCGAUCCAGCCUAGUUUUGAGGUAGGUGGUAUGAGCUUGCAGAUAAUGCCUUAACUUCUGGGCCACCCAUGUCAAGGCGCAACAGGUUCUUUCUAGCAGCGUGUACUUGGCCUCGUAACUGGUAAACUUCUUGCUUAGAUAAUAUAUGGCUUGCUCUUUCUUUCCCGUGGCGGCAUGCUGCCCGAGAAUAUAAUAGAAAGAGCUUUCCAGGACUGUUAGAUAGAGAAAUAGUGGCCUUAUGGCUUGCUCUUUCUUUCCCGUGGCGUCAUGCUGCCCGAGAAUAUAAUAGAAAGAGCUUUCCAGGACUGUUAGAUAGAGAAAUAGUGGCCUUCCCGGUUCUGGCAGAACCAAGACAUGAGGUUUGGAUAAGUAGUGUUUGAUUUUGUCAAAAUCCUCUAUACACUCGACGGUCCAUUUAACAGCCGCAUUGUUUUUCAAUAUCUUGAAUAUGGGCUCGUAUGUGGAAGUCAACUAGGCGAUUAAUCGGCUGAUGUAAUUCAAUCUUCCCAAUAAACUCAUCACAUCCUUCUUGGUCUUUGGAGGAGGUAGCUCUCGAAUGGAUUUUAUCUUUGUCGAAUCCAACUCGAUACCUCUUCGGCUAACAAUGAAUCCCAGAAUUUUUCCUGACGGGACCCCAAAUGCACACUUGGCAGGAUUCAAUUUCAAAUCAUACUUGCAAAGCCUUUGGAAGAACUUUCUUAAGUCCUUUACAAGAUCACCCUACACACUUGGCUGGAUUCAAUUUCAUGUCAUACUUGCGAAGCCUUUUGAAGAACUUUCUUAAUUCCCUUCCAUGAUCACCCUAAGUCUUGGACUUGAUAAUCACAUCAUCCACAUAUACUUCUAUUUCUUGAUGCAUCAUGUCGUGNNNNNNNNNNNNNNNNNNNNNNNNNNNNNNNNNNNNNNNNNNNNNNNNNNNNNNNNNNNNNNNNNNNNNNNNNNNNNNNNNNNNNNNNNNNNNNNNNNNNNNNNNNNNNNNNNNNNNNNNNNNNNNNNNNNNNNNNNNNNNNNNNNNNNNNNNNNNNNNNNNNNNNNNNNNNNNNNNNNNNNNNNNNNNNNNNNNNNNNNNNNNNNNNNNNNNNNNNNNNNNNNNNNNNNNNNNNNNNNNNNNNNNNNNNNNNNNNNNNNNNNNNNNNNNNNNNNNNNNNNNNNNNNNNNNNNNNNNNNNNNNNNNNNNNNNNNNNNNNNNNNNNNNNNNNNNNNNNNNNNNNNNNNNNNNNNNNNNNNNNNNNNNNNNNNNNNNNNNNNNNNNNNNNNNNNNNNNNNNNNNNNNNNNNNNNNNNNNNNNNNNNNNNNNNNNNNNNNNNNNNNNNNNNNNNNNNNNNNNNNNNNNNNNNNNNNNNNNNNNNNNNNNNNNNNNNNNNNNNNNNNNNNNNNNNNNNNNNNNNNNNNNNNNNNNNNNNNNNNNNNNNNNNNNNNNNNNNNUUUAAGUUUGGCUUAGGUUUGUUUUCAAAAUGUUCCAACUCUCGGUUGAUUUCCCUAAAAGCCUCUUCUUCAUCGUAUUCCGGUUCUUGCUUCAUUAUUUCAAAAAUAGGUAGCAUGUUUAGGUCGUGGCAUGAACUCCGCGAGCAUGUCGUUCUAUUUAAAGCUGCACUAUUGGGACUGAAAGAAAAAAAAUAAAAAAUAAAAGAAAAACAAAAAAUUAGAAAAAGACAGAGAAGUGCUAAUGAUAAAUAUUGAUUUCAUUUCUUUGAACUUGUAAGAUAACAGGGUUUACAUAUGGAAUUUAAUGGACAAAAAUAUGAAAGAAAAACACCUGAGCUACACCCUAAAAUAGUCGUGAUUCAAGAAAAGGUAGCAAGGUAGGACUAACGGGCCUCCCGCCUGACUGGGAAAGGCGUGGCCUUCCAGUUUUGCAGCUUGGCAUCCGGUCCCAUAUAGAGCACUUCAGCGGUGCUUGAGCCUUCUCUCAGCUGGACCAUAUUGGCUUCAUACAAUAAUCCCCUCAUGGCUCCACAUAUCUCCUCAAUUUCUUCUAUUGUUAGUGUCUCUUCUUCCUUUUCCUCACUGUACUUUGGUUUUACAAAUGUUUUGUAAAACUAGGGUAGUGGUUGUCGAAAAGGCCAUCCACGACGUUUCCUACGAUUGGCGCAGCUGAUAUCUUCUGAUGUUGGAUGAAAGCCUAGCCCAAAGAACUUUUAUGCGGCAGGCAAAGCGACCGGCUCAGUUAUCCCUUAUAGGGAGCUUCCAAGUCCCUUUCCUGGCUUAAAACCUUGGUGUGUCAUCUCUCUUGCUACCAUGAUUGAAGCAUUUGAGAGGAAAAACUGGGGGAGUGGCUUGCCUUCUUCGUGUUGAUCGGCUACAACAAUUUCAAAAGCUUGGUAAACUAUGUGCUCACUUCCCUAUUUGGCUUCGAGGCAGGGAACAGAGGGUUCCCGGUAAAUUGAUUGUUUGUCUUCUCCGUGGACUACAAUCUCCUAUUUUUCAUGUUUGAACUUCAGCAUUUGGUGAAGAGUAGAAGGCACCGCUCCUGCUGCGUGAAUCCACGGUCUUCCUAUGAGGUAGCUAUAGAAUGUUUCCAUGUCCAAUACUUGAAAUGUAACUUCAAAGUCGACCGGACCAAUAGUCAACACUAAGUCAAUUUCCCAUAUGGUGUCUCUCUUGAUUCCAUCAAAGGCUCGGACAUACACGUUGUUGGGACGGAUCCUCUCUGUCCCAAUCACCAUCAUUUGUAAUGUUGAUAGUGAGCAUAUAUCUACCCCAGAACCUCUGUCUAUCAUCUCUCUUUUGACAUAAUAGCCCUCGCAUUUGACAGUGAGGUGCAAGGAUUUGUUGUGGGAAGCUCCCUCAAAGGUAAGUCAUUCUUGCUGAACGUAACCUGAUUAAUGGCAAAGAAUUUUUCCGCCAUUUUCUCUGGUUUCUCCACGGAGGUUCCAUCCGGUACAUAAGCUUCAUUCAGGGUUUUGGCCAACAGCUUCUGGUGCUCUUGAGAUUUCAUCAGCAAUGACAGUAAAGAGACCUGCUCGGGAGACUUUCGGAGCUGGUCCACCACCUCAUAUUCUGGCAUUUUCUUAUUUUGAAAGAAGGCUUCUGCCUCUUCAGCAUUCACUGGCCUCUUAGAUGGAAAUCGUCGUUUGGUAUCAGUGUUCACUUCUUCCAUAUCUGAACAUUUCUUUGUGGGAUGGACUUUUUGAGUUUCCCUAAUGAUUUCUUUGCCCUUGUAUGUGACUAUAGUUUCUUGGUAAUACCACGGGACUGCAGAAGGGUUUGUCAUUAGCUUUUGAGGCGCGUGACCGAUUACCACGGGCUCAUUCAGCCUUGGUGGUUUAAUCGGUCCCCGUGCCACAUAAGCUCCUUUAGGUAUAUACAUCAUUUUGUUCAGCUCAAACCUUCUUGGGGGACUCAAAGUAGGCUAUUUUUCUUGACGCCCUCACGGGACGUAAAGUAUUGUUUCCUUGGUAAGGUCGUCUCAGUUUUCAUUUCAGACUUCUUCUCGUCUUCUGGGCACUUGGCUUCAUUCAUUUUCUUUUCUUCAAACUUCUUGGGGGUAACUUUCUGUUUCCUUUCUGCCUCAGCAAUGGCUAUUAUAGCUUUUAGGGCAGGGUCAAAUUCUUUGUCCUCACAAAUCAUUCUGAUGACUGGCCCAUUGUUGUGAGCUGGCAAUGGGUUGUUGGUUACGUUUGGGACGUCUUCAUCUCUCAGCACUAUUUUCUUUCGUUCUAUCAAAUCCUCCAUCGCUCAUUUCAAUGUCCAGCAGUUUCCGGAUCAUGUCCUUCUGCCGUGGAAUGAUAAGCACAACCUACACCCCUUUGAUAGGAAGGUGACUCAAGGUUAUGCCUAUUCGGGGGCACAGGCUGCUGGAGACCCAUGUGGAACAAUUUUUGGAAUAAGCUGGCAUAAGAUUCCCAUAUUGGAGUAAAGCUUUGUCUCCUGGGCGGUUCCCUAGGACGGUAAUUAUUUUGUGGGGGGUGGGGAUUAUAGUGAUUCAGAAGAGGCUGAUUUCUCAGGGCUUUGUUUUUGUUUCCCUGUUGUUGUGGUCGAGCAAAGGGCUGGGCUUUCAUGACAGCAUAAGGUUGAGGAACAUAGUGCGUGUCUUGGUGGGGAUAGUAAUGUUGAGAGUCCCUUUCUGAGAAUACAGGUCUGUGAGCUUGAUGUCUUUUCAUUCCGGAGGUUGCCAUCGACACUUCCUCUUUCUUUUUGUUUCUUGUGAUCCCUCUUGCCCCGCCUUGUAUGGCCUGGGAGGUUGCUCUUAUGGAGGACUGACUCGGAAUUCUUCCUCUUCAGGCCAUUUUCUACCAUCUCAUCGAUCUUAAUUGCCUCUGCACAAGGUUUGCCCAUUGCUGACAUCAUAUUUUGAAAAGAAUCUUCCUUUUGCGCUUGUAAGAAGACAGUGACCAUCUCCGUGUCGUCCAUGGGUGGCUUUACUCUUGACGCUUGCUUGCACCACUUAACAGCAUAUUCUUUAAAGCUUUCUGAAGUUUUCUUUUUCAAAUUGCUCAAAGAAUUUCUAUCUGGGGCAAUGUCAAUGUUAUAUUGGAACUGCCUUACCAAAUCCCGGGUGAGCUCAUCCCAAAUAUGCCAUCGAGUGAUAUUUUGGUCCAUGUACCAUUCAAAAGCGAUUCCCACCAAGCUCUCCCCAAAAUAUGACAUCAAGAGUUCUUAUUUUCCACCUGCCCCACGCAGUUGAUUGCAGUACUUUUUCAAAUGAGCGAUAGGGUCGCUGUGGCCAUCGUACUUUUCAAACUUCGGCGUUUUAAACCCCAGAGGGAGAUGUAAUGUGGGAACAUGCAUAGGUUUGAGUAAGACACACUCUUCUACCUACUUAAUCCUUGCAUGUUUUUCAGACUCUGUUCGAGGCUUUUCAUCCUUCUUGUUAUUUCAUCUUGUUGGGGUGUUUUAGGGGUUUUGUCUUGCACAGGUUUGAGUUCGUAUGCUGGUUGAUGGUAGUUGUAUGUGGGGUAUGGAGGAGGAUCAGUUUGGUAGUUGCGAGUUUGGAAUGUGAAAGCUGUGGGGUUAAACAUGGGCCUCGGCACCGCAAGCUGUGUGGUGGUUGCACACGGAGGAGUCGUAAAAAUGUUGGGAACUGGACUGGAUGUGAACAUUGGAGGGCGGAUUUCAGAAGGCGCUCCGACAAAGUUGGUUGAUAUGGUGGGCUACCCCAGGAGGAUAUUUGGGUGACUGAUAAGGAUGGUGGAGGUACCCCCUGACCUUGGGAAAAGCUCGGUAAAUCCGGGGAUAGCGCUUGGAGGUUAUUUUCAAGGGUUUUGUCUUGCAUAGGUGUGAGCUUGUAUGCUGGUUGAGGGUAGUUGUAUGUGGGGUAUGGGGGAAGCUCGGUUUGAUAAUUGGGCGUUUGAAAUGUGAAAGCUGUAGGAUCAAGCAUGGGCUUCGGCACCACAGGCUGUGUGGUGGCUGCACACAGAGGAGCCAUAAAAAUGUUAGGAACUGGACUAGACAUGAACAUCGAAGGGCAAGCUUUAGAAGGCGCUCUGACAAAGUUGGUUGAUAUGGUGGACUGCUCCAUGAGAAUAUUUGGAUGGCUGAUAGGGAUGGUGGAGGUACCCCCCGACCUUGGGAAAAGCUCAGGAAAUCCGGGGAUAGCACUUGAAGGUUCUUUUCCAUUUGUCCAAACGUCCCACAUCUCCAUAACUCGGAGUCGAAGGAUCCUAUUUUCUUCAGCUACCACAGAUUCGAAGGCUGGGAUCCCCACAAUUGGGUUGUCCUCUGGGAUAGGGACUGCUAGUAGAUUCAUUUCAGAUGACAUCUCUGCGCUUCCUUUUGAUCUAGUAAAGUAUUUGUGCGAGGCCAGCUUUCCACAAACCAAUCAUUGUUCUCCAAAAACCUGGACUUGAAACUUGAAUUUCAAAUGGUUAGGUUGGGACAGAUAACAAACAGGAAAUUGCAUGUUGGGUAUGAUGCACCUAUGCAGUUAACGGGCGUCUAUAUGCUUGCAAUGGUCGCAUGCGUCAUCCCGACAUUUAUUUUGAAUUUCUUUUGUUUUCUACUUCUUUUUCCUUAUUGGCUUUCAUUUUUAAGAAUAUGGUCGAAUCCUAUGAAGAUUGCCUACGUAUCAUGACAUCGCAUGAAUCAGACCGAGCGUAGUUCAUGGAAAAAUGUUGUGUAAAUGACACAAUAUUUUGGGGUUUUUAAUUUUGAUUAAGACAUAAACUUUGAUUAAAAAAGCUAACAAAAUGAAAGGCAACUACCAAACUAGGACUCAAUAAACUUACAGACUCGAAAGGUGUGUAAUAGAACAGACAUACUCUUUUAGAAAAUACAAAUUUACGAGUACAUUAAAACUUCAAAUGUUUUUGGAGCUUGCGCGGCAUUGUCCGGCCUUGCCGCAGGCUUGCGUGCUAAGCUUCCUUGGAGGUAGUGGAAAUCCUCCAUCACUUGAUGAACAAAUGUCAUGGCAGUAGCAAAGAACAAAGAUUUCGUCAUGUCCUCACAGUGGUUGCACUUUGCAGUAAUAUAUUCUGCGAUUGCCCGCACCCUUUCCCUAAUAAUACCUUUUUCUUGUAAUAGACGCCUAAUUUGCUCGACCCAUGCUUCUAGAGUUCGUUCGGCUACUUGAUUCAGCUUUUGGAAUUGCCACAAAUCCUUUUCUAAUCCUGCUAUUACUGCGUAGCAAUGCUCUCUUUCGGCUUUAAAGUCCCUGGCUUAUUUGGCCAUUUUGUUUUCAGCUAUGAUGACCCUCUGUUUUAAACCAAUGUUCUCAUUGCCAUUCCCUUCUUUUAAUUGCUCUAGUAUGCGGGCUCGUUCCUCUGAACUUUUAAUCAAUUGCUUCCGAACCCUAGAUAGCUCACCCUCCGCCUUAUAGAGCUCGAACGGCCGCAAGUUUUCUAUGAGCUUUUCAUCUUUUGCACUCCUGGGAGGAUUUCCUGCGGCUGCGUUCAUUUUCUGGAUUUGGGCUCGUAGGGCUUCAUUUUCUUUGGUCAACAUCUUCCUUUCUCCCUCAUUGGCUGCAGCUUGCAAACUGUUUUCAAAUUGCAGUUCUAGGAUUUGCUUUUCCAGCCUUCUUAUCGUAGCCCUAUACUUAUUUUCUUUGGCUAACAAUUCCCACUGCUCUUGUGACGUCUCAACAAGUUCUUGGAGACGUGGUCUCUUAGCCGGCCUCCCAGGCUCUAUGUCUCUCUUGUAUUGAGAAACAUAUCCCGGUGCAACCUCACCUUUAGAUACGUCACGUACUCGAGUAUUGGCUGUCAAGUAUUUACAUUCACUCAAGAUUUGGCGUACAACACCUUUAGGGAAUUACCGUUUGGGCUUAUCUGAGCUACAUAGAGACUGAUAUCUUCGUCCCUAGGGAACAUUUGGUAUCUUCCCAAUUGUCUUAGUACUCUAUAGGGCGCAUAGGGCUGGAUGCUUCGGAGGCCCGUCAGAAGGAAAUGAGGUCUGGUGGCUAGCAUAUACACAACUUUGUCCACAGGAAGCCACCCGAAUGUCCACUCUAUCGAUUUGUAGUGAUGAUGCGGAGAUGAGACACCCAUUCAGUGACACCCUCAGGAACUUUAAACCCAUCAACCAUGUUGCCAAAUUUUUCUAUGUAUCUCCUUGUUGGCGACCCGUAAUUCAUGAACCGAGGCCGAUGGCAUAUAUGCUCGAUCAACCAUAUUUUCAGCACCAAGUUACAUCCCUCGAAUAAUUCUCCUCCCGCUUUACAUACGGUGAGAGCACGAAAGAUGUCGGACAAAAUCAUUGGAGCAUGGGUACUUUAAGCCUGGAUCAUUAAAGUGCUAAUGACUCCUGCUAUCCGUAUGUCAUGUUCCCAUCCUUUGGCGGGAAUACUAUAAGACCCAAGAAAGAUACCAUGAAUGCAAAACAUCGAUGUGAGCCGAUUUCCCUUGCUACAAAUAAGACUUUCGCGGUUGUUGAAUCCUCUGAUGUGGCCAUACCUCUGACAUAUAAAUUGCAGGGUGAAAAAGCCAGCCGAUAAGUCGGGAUUGUGAACUGUUCUGCUGAUUUUCAAGGAAUCCAAGAAUUUGUGCACAAGCGAGAACUCUUGGUGCAAUCAAGUAUCGGUGUCUCAAGGGGAUUAUAUGGGUCCCGAUAUAUCCGGUAAUUUCUUCUAAAUUCGAGGUGAUCUCAAAGUCCGAGAAGUGGAAGACAUUUUGGGCGGGGUCCCAGAAUGUGAUUAAAGCCUUUAUGAUGUCUCCUCUGGGUUAAUUUUCAAUAAACCAGUGAGGCCUCCCAGAUGUGUAUUGACCUUUUUCUGCCCUUCUUCCCCCAGAGCAUUCCACCAUAGUCGCAACUCCAAGGGAAUUUUGUUCAUUAUCGUGAUCAUUCUUCACAUUUAUUAAGCGAAGUAGUGUUCUAAAAAAUAUAAAAUAAAUUGGCAUUUUUAUGAAAUGUAUUUCUUAAAAUCAAGGACGGGCUUUGCAAAUAAGACCUUUAAACACUUCGGAGAGAAGGUUUUCAGGUUGUGCUUGCUUACUAGUCAAAAGAUAAAACUCAUAGGUGGCCAUUUGUGCCAGAUCAGUCUUCAGGUGUCCCUUACGGUAACAUUCGGCUGUUUUCUACAGUAAUGGCCCCACCUGAUUUAUUUCAAAACACGUGAAUAAACUCGGACAUUUGUUUUUCUUAUUUUUGCAAAAGAGGGGUUGACCCGGCAAAAUAAUUUAACAAAAAUCCAAAAAUAUUAUUGAAAAACUUUCCCAAUUUCUUUUCUUCUUUUUUUUGGCUUUUUUUUUUUUGAAACAUCCGGCAGCAUUUCUGCGCUAUUUUAAGCAUUGGUUUUUUGCAAAUGAUUUAACUCAUCGAUUCUCAUAUUUCAAGUCGGCCAACAUGCGAAUCCAAAGCAAGUGGAUGUACAUGUAGCACGUGAUAUGCAUCAUGAUUGUCUUUUCAUUUCGGGUCACCUGUCCUAGACGGACCUAACCCCUGUUUUGAGUCCUCUAAGUCAAAUGCAUGAUACAACUAAGCGUUCCUACUAGGGAUCCGACCUAAGGGUUUUGUUAUGCUAAGUUGAGAACCUUGGUAUAGGGUCUAGACUGUGCACCCGAGCGGAUAACCCGAUUCGAGGAGGGGGCUACGUACCAGGAACCAAAAGGCCAUCCGGCUUAGUAACUUGUCCGGCCUCUUUCUUAUUUCAAGGUAUGACGCUAACAGAACAGGGAGUCUCAAUCAGUAAGCACAUCCCCAGAGGUGAGAAGUGAAGGGUUUCUUAUCAGUUUAUAUAUACAAUUCAGAUAAUAUCAAAGCGGUAAAACAUGUGACACUUAGCACAGAACAUGGAAGCAAAUCAAAAGAAGCAAAAUAUAACAUUUAUUGUAAGCUCGAAUUCUUGAACCCUGAACCGAAGAUUCCGGGUUCACUAUCCCCAGCAGAGUCGCCGGAGCUGUCACACCUCCUUUUUUACAUGGUUACCCCGAAGGAUGACAUAUAUAAGGGAUUUUUCCAAUUAAAGUGACAUUAUUUGAAAUGGGAUUAAUUAUUUAUUUAAGAGUCGCCACUUGGGAUAGGUUUGGCUUUUGGUGUCACAAGUCACCGGUUAUUUUUGAAUACCAAAUCGAGGAAAAUUUUUCGACUGCCCAAUUGGAGUGUGCGAACUAAACAUUAUUGAGUAAGGAAUUUUGUUGACCCCAUGGAAGGUGUUAGGCACCCGCGGAUCCCGUGGUUCUUGCACAGUCGCUUAAACUAGUAUAAUUGGUUAAAACUCUGAUUUUUUACAUUUUCAUCCUAUAGUACAAUUUUAAAAUUAUUAACCGCUUUAUUCAUUUUAGAGGUAUUCGCAAUAUUAUUAAAACACGUCUCGAACCAGGUCACAUAAAUGCACCCGGGUCCUCGACAUAUUUUAAUGCAGCUGAGACUUGGAUUUGGGUUACAUAAAUGCGCACCCGAGUUUAGGAAUAUAUUUUAUUAAUAUAUCGCGGCUAUAGCAACUACGCAUUUGGAAAUUCGUGAAAGGCCGUCAUAUUCGCUAAACAACACUUCCGACUUUCUAUGCAUUUUGUUAAGCUGAGGAGCCUCACAUAGUGUGAUCAUGUUAGAGAAGCUCACUUUAUUUUUAUAAAGGAAACAUAAGGCGGUUUAUAGUUUUCUACUAUGCUUGUCUCUAAAUAUCCUAAUAAUUUCAUACGUAGGUAAUGCAUUUUUAGGGACUUAGCAUCUACAUUUCCAGCCUUAUUCGUGGCUGGUUAUGUGUAUUGGGCUUUAGAUUAUAGCAAGCCCAAGGAAAAUGUAUUCUUUAUGUCACAGCUGACAAUCAUUGGGCCUUCCAAUUGGGCCCAGAAACGUUGGACUAUGAGUCCAUCGUAGGAAAAUGAUGGCAACCUUUUAAUCGAUUAUACUACAGUCAUUAAAAUUAUACCAUGGACAUUCUGAGGUAUACUGGAGGUAUUUUAAUAAAGAAAAUGCUGAGAAUGAUUUCACAUUAAUAAGUUAUAACUCGGACUUCAACAACUCUAGUACUUAAAGAAAAAUUUGAAGUACUCAUCGUUCAGAGUAUAUGCAUAUACAGUUGUUGGAUCUUUACUACAUCCUCAUUCAUGGAUACUAAGUAAAAUCAUGGACUAGGCUAUGUUAAUUCUAAUGAAAUCUAAACCAAACUAAAGUUAGAGUCCACAUACAGUCCAAUGUUAUUACAAGUUUUUAUACAUUACAAUAUCGGAAAUGCUACUUAGAAGUACAUAAUACUCAUACAUGAAUUGAUACAUAAAAAUAUUGUUAUCUUCAUUAUAAGCUAUAAUCCUGAAUGUACAUAGCUAUCACUUCUCAGAUUUUGAGUGUGGAUGGAUACCUGGAACUUCAGCAGAAAAAAGAAAAACCUAUGAGUAAGGUUAAGAGAUUAGCAAGAAAAUACUGCAGCCGCACAACCAGUAAAACCCAGGAACUCACGAAAUUUGAGAAGCAGCUAGUGAAAAUAGAUCUCUACAGCAGCUCAAAAUGCAUAUUUAGUCCAUCUUCAACUCGUAUUAAUUAUAAGAGAAAGUUUUAUCAGAAGAAAAAGGCUUUUCUGAAUAAUGUAUGAAAGUUUAAUGUGUAUCUUUCUAAAGGUUAUAUCCUAAUUUUUCUCGAAAAUCCUGAAGAAGAAAAUCCCUAAUCCUCUUAAAAAUCUGCUCGAAAAAAUCUCCAAAAAUCUCCUUGAAAUGAUCAAAUUGUCCCAUUUUAUAACUGAAGCCUUAGGGAAACAUAAAUCCCUUUGUUUUCGUUUUAGUCCUUUAUUCAUUUUUUAGUUUUGCCUAAAUGGUCCUUGGUUUUAUGACUUGUGUCUCAAGUUUUGAGGCAGAAAUUAUACUUAGACCCCUCACUAAAAUGUUCUAGGAGUUUGUUACAAGAUUUCCCAUUUUCAAAUGCCCUUAAUACCCCCUGUCAUUUUUCCUAAUUACUGGCCUAAGGGUUUGAAACCUUGGUUCUCAUCUAUUUGGUCUGAAAUUGACCCUAGUUAGUUAUUUUCAACUCAUACACUAAGAUUAUUAUCAUCAACUAGGAUCGAACUCUGAAAGUGUGGCCAUGGCCAAUUUAAUUACAGACUUAAGCAAAACAAACGUCCAAGGGCCAGGAUUUAAAUAAUGCAACCUUUAUACUCAUGCAAACAAUAAAAAAGUGAACAAAACAAAUUUCAGAAUUGCAGGGCACUAACCAAAUAUGACUAAUUCUGAGCUCAGUACAAUAAUCCAAAUAAUGUCAACAAGAAUAGGCUACGACUUCAAAUGUUAAGCAGACAAUUCAAGACAAGUUAUCCAAACUUAAACAUAAACAAUUAAGGAGGCGAAUUUCAAAGAUGAGCAGAUGAAACUUAAUGUAUUUAAACAAAUGAAAAUCAAAAUCAAAUAGAAAAGAGAAUUAGGACGAGUAUAUGACUCUAGAUGGAAAUACCUGACCAGAAUUUUUCAAAGAUAAACAAGUAGGACAUAAUAUGCUUAUCAAAUGGAAAGUAGGGAAGAUCAAAAAUAAAAUAAUACAAAGAUGAGCAUGUGAUAACUACUCAGAAUUUCCCAAAGAUGAGCAAAUGAAAAAUUAGGAAGAUAACAGCAAUAAAAAGACAACCAGGACGAGCAUGUAACUCAUGAUGGAAACAAGUAUUUAGAACAUCUUGAAGAUGAAAAGAUAGAAGGCUAAUGAACUUAAACAAAUAACACUAAAGAAGAUCAAACAAAACAGAAGGCAAGGAUGAACAUAUGAUCACUCAGAAUAUUUCGAGACGAAAAGAUAAAAAACAAACAAAUUUAAACAAAUGAAAAUCAAAGCAAAUAAGAACAAUUAGAACUAAAAACAUACGAGAUAUAAGCAAUAAAAUCAAAUAAAAGAGCAGGAACUUAGCUUUCUUGCUUGUGACCCUAAAAUUGGGACUCUUCCAAUUCCACAAUUCUUUGACCUCUUUUGAGAGGUCUUUUGGAUUCUUAAGGUCUUUGUCUUUCAUAUUAGAGGGGGGAAAAGGUUUCAGGGGAGGAUCAAAUGGUAUUGAGACGGGGGGGCUUUAGAUUUGAUUUUCAAUCAUGUCUGGCUGCAUUCGAGGGCCGUGGGUGGCAGGGUUGUGGAUAGGGAUAGGAGACGGUCACCUUGGACCAAUUUCAUGGGGUUCUGGUGAGUUUAGGGUUUGGGAUUAAACUUCGAUUUAAUAUUCGACAUAAUCUAUUAGGAUUCAAAGGGG
rnacentral:lncRNA from 1 species